rnacentral:rRNA from 1 species
AGUGAACGCUGGCGGUAGGCCUAACACAUGCAAGUCGAACGGCAGCACAGUAAGAUCUUGCUCUUACGGGUGGCGAGUGGCGGACGGGUGAGGAAUACAUCGGAAUCUACUUUUUCGUGGGGGAUAACGUAGGGAAACUUACGCUAAUACCGCAUACGACCUACGGGUGAAAGCAGGGGAUCUUCGCACCUUUCGCGAGUGAAUGAGCCGAUGUCGCAUUAGCUAGUUGGCGGGGUAAAGGCCCACCAAGGCGACGAUCCGUAGCUGGUCUGAGAGGAUGAUAGGCCACACUGGAACUGAGACACGGUCCAGACUCCUACGGGAGGCAGCAGUGGGGAAUAUUGGGCAAUGGGCGCAAGCCUGAUCCAGCCAUACCGAGUGGGUGAAGAAGGCCUUCGGGUUGUAAAGCCCUUUUGUUGGGAAAGAAAAGCAGCCGGUUAAUACCCCGCUGUUCUGACGGUACCCAAAGAAUAAGCACCGGCUAACUACGUG